rnacentral:rRNA from 1 species
AACCUCACCGGGAUACGACAGCGGAAUGAUAGCCGGGCUGAAGACUCCUGCUUGACUAGCUGAGAGGAGGUGCAUGGCCGUCGUCAGUUCGUACUGUGAAGCAUCCUGUUAAGUCAGGCAACGAGCGAGACCCACGCCAACAGUUGCCAGCAUGAUCUCCGGAUUGAUGGGGACACUGUUGGGACCGCCUCUGCUAAAGGGGAGGAAGGAAUGGGCAACGGUAGGUCAGCAUGCCCCGAAUUAUCCGGGCUACACGCGGGCUACAAUGGAUGGGACAAUGGGUUUCGACACCGAAAGGUGAAGGUAAUCUCCUAACCCCACCCGUAGUUCGGAUUGCGGGCUGCAACUCGCCCGCAUGAAGCUGGAAUCCGUAGUAAUCGCGUCUCACGAUGGCGCGGUGAAUAUGUCCCUGCUCCUU